UGCAGUCGACGGUAAGUUAGAAGCUUGCUUUUAACACGAGUGGCGCACGGGUGCGUAACGCGUAUGCAAUCUACCCUUUUCUGGAGAAUAGCCCUUAGAAAUGAGGAUUAAUACUCCAUAGUAUAACAAUUUCGCAUGUUAUUGUUAUUAAAGCUUCGGCGGAAAAGGAUGAGCAUGCGUCCCAUUAGUUUGUUGGUGAGGUAACGGCUCACCAAGACUGCGAUGGGUAGGGGGCCUGAGAGGGUUAUCCCCCACACUGGUACUGAGACACGGACCAGACUCCUACGGGAGGCAGCAGUGGGGAAUAUUGGUCAAUGGACGAAAGUCUGAACCAGCCAUGCCGCGUGCAGGAUGACGGCCCUACGGGUUGUAAACUGCUUUUAUAUAGGAAGAAACCUCUUUACGUGUAAAGAGCUGACGGUACUAUAAGAAUAAGGACCGGCUAACUCCGUGCCAGCAGCCGCGGUAAUACGGAGGGUCCAAGCGUUAUCCGGAUUUAUUGGGUUUAAAGGGUACGUAGGCGGAACUUUAAGUCAGUAGUGAAAGCCCAUCGCUUAACGAUGGAACUGCUAUUGAUACUGAUGUUCUUGAAUAUAGUUGAAGUAGGCGGAAUACGACAUGUAGCGGUGAAAUGCAUAGAUAUGCUACAGAACACCGAUCGCGAAGGCAGCUUACCAAGCCGAUAUUGACGCUCAGGCACGAAAGCGUGGGGAGCGAACAGGAUUAGAUACCCUGGUAGUCCACGCCGUAAACGAUGAUCACUCGUUGUUGGCAAUACACUGCAGUCGACUGCAGUCGACUGCAGUCGACUCCACCUU
rnacentral:rRNA from 1 species